rnacentral:rRNA from 1 species
GACGAACGCUGGCGGCGUGCUUAACACAUGCAAGUCGAACGGAAAGGCCCUGCUUUUGUGGGGUGCUCGAGUGGCUAACGGGUGAGUAACACGUGAGUAACCUGCCCUUGAUUUUGGGAAAACUUCAGGAAACUGGGGCAACUAGCGGAUAUGAGCUCCUGCUGCAUGGUGGGGGUUGGAAGGUUUCGGCGGGUGGGGAUGGACUUGCGGCUUAUCAGCUUGUUGGUGGGGUAGUGGCUUACCAAGGCUUUGACGGGUAGCCGGCCUGAGAGGGUGGCCGGCGACAUUGGGACUGAGAUACGGCCCAGAAUCCUACGGGAGGCAGCAGUGGGGAAUAUUGCACAAUGGGCGGAAGCCUGAGGCAGCAACGCCGCGUGCGGGAUGACGGCCUUCGGGUGGUAAACCGCUUUCGCCUGUGACGAAGCGUGAGUGACGGUAAUGGGUAAAGAAGCACCGGCUAACUACGUG